rnacentral:lncRNA from 1 species
GUGUAGACCAGGCUGGCCUCGAACUCAGAUCCACCUGCCUCUGCCUCCCUAGUGCUGGGAUCAAAGGUGUGCACAACCACUGCCUGAUGUUGAUGCCUCUUCUUCUUCUUCUCCUUCUUCUUCUCCUUCUUCUUCUCCUUCUUCUUCUCCUUCUUCUUCUCCUUCUUCUUCUCCUUCUUCUUCUUCUUCUUUUUCGUUUUUUCUUUUUUUUUUUUUGAGCUGGGGACCGAACCCAGGGCCUUGCGCUUGCUAGGCAAGUGCUCUACCACUGAGCUAAAUCCCCAACCCCU